GCAGACCCCGCAUUCCCAGCAGGAACACCCUGGCCUGGUGCUGCGCUCUCCUCAUUGCAGCCCACCUGGAGGAGCUUCCAUCCAUCCCACCACCACUGGCAAUCCCACUCUCACUGGCAAAUAUUUAUUUACAACCACAGAUUUCAUCCUGUCAAGCUCCGGAUUUAACUUUGCCAAUGGUUUCCCAAUGGAAACCUUAGAACCGUGGUCUCUGGAUCUCAAGUGCUCCAGCCUGCUGCUCUCGCACAUCCAGUCCACUACUGCUGCCUGCAGUCCCACUCAUAGGCCUGGGUGUCCUUUGACCAUCUGGUUGCCUUCCUCUGCCUGGAAGGAGUUGAGCCUGGUGCAGUGGACUCAGUCCCUCUGGACGCUGUAAGUACCGAGUCUGGCAGGAGGGGUGUGGGAGAGAUGAGGGCAUGGGGGCCGCCCUGGCCUAUAAUGGCAAGCCAUCAUCAGCGCUAGGGGAGGAUGGGGCAAUGGACUGGCACGUGCAGAUCAUGCCAUCUGCGUGUCACUUGGAAACAGACAUCGUGCUGCUGUUUCUGUUAGCUUUUUAGCAACCACUCACUGAGCAUCCACUUUGUGCCAUCCUGGGUGUACAGCAGGGAACAUGCUAACACAGUGGUCCGCAGGCUUUUUAGUACCAGGGACUGGUUUUGUGGAAGACAGUUUUUCUAUGGACCGGGGUGGGGUGCAUGAUUUUGGGAUGAUUCAAACACAUCAUAUUUAUUGUACAUUUAUUAUUACUACAGUAAUAUGUAAUGAAAUAACGAUUUCAGAUUGUCUUCCUGCAACUGGAUGGUCCCAUCUGGGGUUGAUGGGAGACAGUGACAGAUCAUCAGACAUUAGAUUCUCAUAAGGAGCAUGCAGCCCAGAUCCCUUGCAUGUGCAGUUCACAGUAGGGUUCAUGCUCCAGUCUGUGAGCUGGGGGUUGGGGACUCCUGCUCUAACAGACCAGGUCCUUGUCCUCACACAGAAAGUCCAAGAUGAUGAGCAUGGCAACAUUUUGGUCAAGCUAGAAAAUAGCAUCAUUGCAAGCCAGGCACGGUGGCUCAUGCCUGUAAUUCCAGCACUUUGGGAGGCCGAGUGUUCAGUGGCCUACAUGCUCCAGGAGGCCUGGGUGCAGAACACCUCUGUGGUGGAGGAAGUGUGCCUCGGGCAGGAGCUUGACCCAGACUGGCUGGAAAGAGUCCUAGAGGCCUGCACCCCUAUGGCCAGAUGUGGACAGCUUCCCUGCGGGAGUCCACACUUCAUUUGGGGAUCAGGUGAGAAUGUCGGGGUGUUUUGGAUCAGGGAGGCAUUGCAGUUAGGGAUCAUUUGGGUCCCCGAUUCAUCAUGGGCAAUAUGA
rnacentral:lncRNA from 1 species